rnacentral:lncRNA from 1 species
AUUGUCUGCGGUGGUUUGUGCUGUGAUGACGUUAGUGAUUAUGGUGGGGCUAGUGGAGGUCAGUGCAGCGGCGAUGGAUUUGUUGUUUUGGGUUAGUUUUUUCCUUUGAUUUGCUUUUUUGGAGCUUUAGGGGUGCUCAGCCCUUUUUUGUGGUGUUUUGGUGGUACUCAACCAAUGUUUUUGUGUUGGAUUUUAAGGUGGUGGUAGCGGUGUGGCGGUGCCAACUUUAGUUUUUGUUUCUAUCUCUUUUGUGAGAUUUCAGCUUGUGAGGUUGUGUAGGUGAUAAUGGUGGUGGCACACUGGCACUAUGAUGAUGAGGUGGUGCUGGCUCUUUAGGUUCUUUUUUCUUUUUAUAUUUUGUUACAGAUUGUAAGGCGGUGUUGAUUGGGAGGUGGUGGUGAUGGUUGUGGUGGUCAUGGCAGUGGUGUGGUGAUUGUGGGUGGUGGUGUUUGUGACUAUUUUGUUGGUGGUGGUAAUGGUUGUGAUUGUGGAUUGAUGUCAUUAUUGGUAGCGGCAGCA